AGCGAACGCUGGCGGCAGGCCUAACACAUGCAAGUCGAACGAAGUCUUCGGACUUAGUGGCGGACGGGUGAAUAACACGUGGGAACGUGCCUUUAGGUUCGGAAUAACUCAGGGAAACUUGUGCUAAUACCGAAUGUGCCCUUCGGGGGAGAGAUUUAUCGCCUUUAGAGCGGCCCGCGUCUGAUUAGCUGGUGGGUGAGGUAAUGGCUCACCAAGGCUACGAUCAGUAGCUGGUCUGAGAGGAUGACCAGCCACAUUGGGACUGAGACACGGCCCAAACUCCUACGGGAGGCAGCAGUGGGGAAUUUUGCGCAAUGGGCGAAAGCCUGACGCAGCCAUGCCGCGUGGAUGAUGAAGGUCUUAGGAUUGUAAAAUCCUUUCACCGGUGAAGAUAAUGACUGUAGCCGGAGAAGAAGCCCCGGCUAACUUCGUGCCAGCCGCCGCCGUAAGAC
rnacentral:rRNA from 1 species